GCGAAGAACCUUACCUACUCUUGACAUCUACAGAAGCCAGCGGAGACGCAGGUGUGCCUUCGGGAACUGUAAGACAGGUGCUGCAUGGCUGUCGUCAGCUCGUGUUGUGAAAUGUUGGGUUAAGUCCCGCAACGAGCGCAACCCUUAUCCUUGUUUGCCAGCACUUCGGGUGGGAACUCCAGGGAGACUGCCGGUGAUAAACCGGAGGAAGGUGGGGACGACGUCAAGUCAUCAUGGCCCUUACGAGUAGGGCUACACACGUGCUACAAUGGCGCAUACAGAGGGCGGCCAACUUGCGAAAGUGAGCGAAUCCCAAAAAGURCGUCGUAGUCCGGAUUGGAGUCUGCAACUCGACUCCAUGAAGUCGGAAUCGCU
rnacentral:rRNA from 1 species